rnacentral:rRNA from 1 species
CAGUAGCCACGGGAAUACGAAGGGGGCUAGCGUUGUUCGGAAUUACUGGGCGUAAAGGGCGCGUAGGCGGCCAUUCAAGUUAGAUGUGAAAGCCCUGGGCUCAACCUAGGAAUUGCAUUUGAUACUGUUUGGCUUGAGUUCGGGAGAGGUGAGUGGAAUUCCCAGUGUAGAGGUGAAAUUCGUAGAUAUUGGGAAGAACACCAGUGGCGAAGGCGGCAACCUGGUCCUUGACUGACGCUGAGGCGCGAAAGCGUGGGGAGCAAACAGGAUUAGAUACCCCCGAGUCCCUGUACUUAUACAC